rnacentral:misc_RNA from 1 species
CAACCCUCAAGCCCUGCUUGGUGUUGGAGAAGUAUGGCCUUGGCCGUACCCUCCGAAAAUUAGUGGCGGACUCUUCUAGAUUCCGGGCGCAGUAGAGAUGCGACGCCUUGGAGGUCUGGGUGGGCUCUGGCCGUUAAACUCCCCAUAUUUUAAA